AGAACAAAACCAAGUUAUGUGUCGAUAAUUGGCUGAUGAAAUUAUGCUCACGUCAUUUUGUGUUAAGCCAACAAUUUUAAGUAGUGUCAUAUCAUUUAGUCUUAUUUUGCUGAUCCAUGACCUCUUUAUCGUAUAGCGAUUUUGCUUCUGUCAUGAUGCUCGUUUGGGUGCUUUUUAUGUGAUGGUUAUAUAUGGAUUCACGAGUAUUACUUAUAGUUAUUAUAGCUAGUGUUUGCUAUGUUUUUUUAUCUCUCCAAUUUGGCUUCCAUACCAAGGUGAUGAUUGGGUGUCAUCGCUGAUGUAGUAAAAAUGCAGCGAUGUUUUUCAUUAUAAUGUGCUUCCAGUUAGAAUUAGCUAACUGUUUUUAUCAGUUCUCUAUAUGAACAUCUGUACAAAAAAAGAACACCGAGAUCGGCAAAUUUGCUGAACUAUAUUUCACCGUUGCCUGCCUGAUGACACAUGCAAGAAUUCUAUAAGGCUACUUUUAGUUUAUAACUGCUGCGAAGUUUUUCUCAAGAUAAAUACCUAUCAUCUGGAAGUUGAGGACAAAAUGAAAAAUUUGCUUGAACCAACUGAAAUGUCAAAUAGGCAGCUCAAUAGGUACAUUUAGAAGCUUCAGGCUUAGUCUAUUUCUUUCAUUCAAUAUUAUUAUCUCUGCUAUCUUGCAAUAUUCUUAAAUCAAUAAUGAUAAAUUCAAAUAAUUGUUCACUCUUAACACUUUAGGAGAGUCUGUUGCGAAGGACGAAUCCAUUUGUACUGAAAAAACUAAUAAGUUAGUUCAUUUCAUAUUUUAGGCUUAAUCUAUUUGUGGAUAAUCUAAAUCUGAAUAGUCACAUCACUUCUCAUAAUGCUCUAUCAAAACUGUGGUUCUUUUUCAAGAUACAGCUAUGAGUUAUGUAAAUAUCUCCUUGACGUCUCCUCGUAUCUGUUUGGCUUUUCGUUGGAAUGACAUUGGUUGUUUAACUUCUUAUGCUUGCAGUAAUAGGCAUUGGUGGUAGACAUGGUGCAUCUGAUCUUAUGCACAAUAAAUAAGAUGAUUGUCUGGUUAAAUAUGCUGUUGUCAUGUACUGGCAGAGUAGGUAAGGCUAUCUUCUGCAUUUAUGUUGGCUUGUUGAGGAAUCAGAACUGUUCCUUCAAAAAAUGUAUUGAUUUGCUUUGUACUGUCAUUUCAAGUACCAAAUUGCAAGAGAGGGCAUAUUUUCUCUAUAAUUGUUUACUUAGCGUAGCUCCUGCCCAUCUGGUCACAUCCUAUGCUUUGGGCUGCAUCUUGAAUCUUUUCUCCAAGCCCUGUCUCCUCAUCCUUCCUCAGCAGCUCUCUGUUCUCUUCCACUUGCCUUCACCCAUCUGCCUUCUCUUUUAUUUACUGACAUUUUACCCCUCUUCACUGGAUGUGCUCUUUGACUGGCCUUCCCGUUCCAUCCAGCAGCCUUGCUUUCAAUUCACCUCCUCGUAGGUACUCCCCCAGUACUUCUGGUAGUCUCGGGUUCUUCUCCCUCUAGCCCCUGCAAUGACUGAUAAACUAGGACCCUUACCCAUUCGCUAUUUAUGCAUAUACUUGUGCCCUUCUCAGAGAUGAGAAUGCUAUUAUGAUAAGUAGUAGCAAAUGAACUACUUACACUUCACUGUGCUUGUUGAAGGUGUGCCACUACACUGCAAAUUUCCUACUGUUAUUCUCUGUUUCUAGUGUUGGUUUUGUCUAAUAAAUAAUAAUGCUGGAAUGAUUUGCCUUUGGAGCUUUUGAGUUUUGACACAAUUCCACAAUGGUGAAGCUAAUGUUUACUGUUUAGAGUCAUUAUUACAAAUUUAUGAGAACAACUCCAAUGGCUUUUCCUGGAUGAAUGGUGCAAAAUUGUUUGACUGAUGAUAUUGCUUGCCCCGCAGGUUACAUUCUGGUGACUGAAAUGAAGAACUGCGUUGUUGGCUGUAGGCUCUUCUAUUGUGUAUGUUCGACGCGGAGAUUGGCUCUCUGUAGCAUGCGCCACUCGGCUGUGAAGUGCACUUGUAGGAAUUACUUGUUUAAUUUGGCAACUUCCGUCUAUUAUCUACUUUCCGUGGGCAUCAGUCAACUGGCGUGAAGGUCGAAGGCACAUUGACUUGCUGCUUUCGGAGCAAGCAUGUUUACCAAGCUCGCGACCCUGCUUGCAUCUGGUGUGUGUGCUAGUGUGCGUGCAUUUGGUUAUCUUGCGUCUUUGUAUUUUGCUCGUUUUCCAUGAUGCCCCAUUGUCCGUGCGGGUGGAGUUUCCAUCUGGUUCCGAGAUGAGCUAUUUUCAAACAUAUUCUGGGUAAUGAAUGUUGAAUCGAUCAGUAUUUGUACCUGGGAAUUGGGAAGCAGUU
rnacentral:lncRNA from 1 species